GACCGGAUGCGGAUCUCGAAAGCCUGUCCCAGUUCGGACUGGAGUCUGCAACCCGACUCCACGAAGUUGGAUUCGCUAGUAAUCGCGCAUCAGCCAUGGCGCGGUGAAUACGUUCCCGGGCCUUGUACACACCGCCCGUCAAGCCAUGGGAGCCGGGGGCGCCUGAAGUCCGGGACCGCGAGGACCGGCCUAGGGCGAAACUGGUAACUGGGGCUAAGUCGUAACAAGGUAUC
rnacentral:rRNA from 1 species